UCACACCAAGGUGCUCUCUGAUGGCUGCAUUACUCAUUUGAUCACUGAGGCAAUUCCCACUUUUAAAUCUGCAGUGGAGAUUUAACUUUUGAAAUAUCAGUUCACAAUUGACUCAGAUAGCCUUUAUUCUUACCUCUAAAUUAUCUGCCUAUCUAUCUAUCAAUCAAUCAAUCUAUUUAUCUGCUUGAUAUUCAAUCAAUGACUAAUAGAACAAUGAAUUUAUGUCUACAGUAACUGAAUUUUAUAAUGAUAUUUAAAGAAAGUAUAGAAGGGAAUCCUCUGAAACCUCUGGAUAAGGAUAAGAUUAUUGCAAUCUGAAAUUGCAUUUGUAAAAUAGAGCAUCACUAGCUAUCAUCGCCAGCUAUCAUUACUAGAUAUCAUUGUAAAUACCAUCACUAAAUAUCAUCGC
rnacentral:sRNA from 2 species